rnacentral:lncRNA from 1 species
UUACUGUCUGCCUCAACAACAACAACACAGAUACCAACACCAAGCCUUUACAAGUACAAGGAGCAGAGUGAAAUCCUGACCUGGUUGAGCCUACUUGACAUGAUCAUGUAUGUUAAACUAGAGGAUCGCUUGGCUAUCUAGAGCUCAAGGAGACUUAAUAUAAUGGAACUACUGUACACAGUAUGUGUUGGUACAGAGGUGUUGAGGAUAUAGAGGUGUUGAGGAUGUUGAGGUGUUGAGGAUAUAGAGGUGUUGAGGAUGUGGAGGUGUUGAGGAUGUAGAGGUGUUGAGGAUGUAGAGAUGUUGAGGUUUUAGAGAUGUUGAGGAUUUAGAGAUGUUGAGGUGUUGAGGAUAUAGAGGUGUUAAGGUGUUGAGGAUGUAGAGGUGUUGAGGAUGUAGAGGUGUUGAGGAUGUAGAGGUGUUGAGGAUGUAGAGGUGUUGAGGAUGUAGAGGUGUUGAGGAUGUAGAGGUGUUGAGGAUGUAGAGGUGUUGAGGAUGUAGAGGUGUUGAGGAUAUAGAGGUGUUGAGGAUGUAGAGGUGUUAAGGUGUUGAGGAUGUAGAGGUGUUAAGGUGUUGAGGAUGUAGAGGUGUUGAGGAUGUAGAGGUGUUGAGGAUAUAAAGGUGUUAAGGUGUUGAGGAUGUAGAGGUGUUAAGGUGUUGAGGAUGUAGAGGUGUUGAGGAUGUAGAGGUGUUGAGGAUAUAAAGGUGUUGAGGAUGUAGAGGUGUUGAGGAUGUAGAGGUGUUGAGGAUAUAGAGGUGUUAAGGUGUUGAGGAUGUAGAGGUGUUAAGGUGUUGAGGAUGUAGAUGUGUUGAGGUGUUGAGGAUAUAGUACUGAAAAUGUCAGGCAUGACUAAACCUAUGAGACAAAUCCUUGUGGCAUUGGGGUUUCACAUGCACACAGCAUAUCUGCAGGAUGUAUUUGAGAGAAGAUUUGCAUAAAGCAUGUCACUCAAACCAUGACUGAAGUAAUAUGUCACGCCGCAUACAGGCAUGUUGAUAUGGUAAUUCUGCAGUAUAUCAUAUUACUGCACGGUAUCAUGAUUAAGGUCCAAGAAACAAAAGAAAAAGAUAUUGCAUUGAAGAAUGACAUUACAAUUAGUUGUUCCAAACAUUUCUCCUUUUAAGCAUCCAUCUGAUCAGAUAAUGAUGCGGUACUUACCCGUUCUAGUGCAGCAUCAUUGUCUAAUGCAACACUGUAGCAAAAAAAAGAGGAAAUUCAGCUCUCUUAUUUUUACCAGAUUAUAAUCAUGACUAGCAUCUUAUUGUGUUAUAACCGACAUGUUCACUUCCUCAAAUGACUAUAAAGACAUAUAACUAUCCUAAUAGGAUGGUGUGAAGGGAAUUCAGCUACUUCUUCUCACCUCACACUGUCCCUAGUGUGACCCUGCACAUUGAUCUGGUACUGCUACUUCCUCUAUAUAGCUCAACAUUCAUCUGGUACUGGCACUCCCUGUAUACAGCUCCACAUUGAUCUGGUACUGCUACUCCCUGUAUAUACAGUUGAAGUCGGAAGUUUACAUACGCUUAGGUUGGAGUGAUUAAAACUCAUUUUUCAACCACUCCACACGUUUCUUGUUAACAAACUAUAGUUUUGGCUAUUGGUUAGGACAUCUACUUUGUGCAUGACUCAAGUAAUUUUUCCAACAAUUGUUUACAGACAGAUUAUUUCACUUAUAAUUCACUGUAUCACAAUUCCAGUGGGUCAGAAGUUUACAUACACUAAAUUGACUGUGCCUUUAAAAAGCUUGGGAAAUUCCAGAAAAUGAUGUCAUGGCUUUAGAA